rnacentral:tRNA from 1 species
CUCAUCAUAGUUUAUUAAAACAUUGAUUUGCAAAAUCAAAGUAGGAAUUAAUCCUGAUGUGU